rnacentral:rRNA from 1 species
UACGUAGGGUGCGAGCGUUAAUCGGAAUUACUGGGCGUAAAGCGUGCGCAGGCGGUUCGUCGUGUCCGAUGUGAAAGCCCCGGGCUCAACCUGGGAAUGGCAUUGGAAACUGGCGGACUCGAGUGUGGCAGAGGGGGGUGGAAUUCCGCGUGUAGCAGUGAAAUGCGUAGAGAUGCGGAGGAACACCGAUGGCGAAGGCAGCCCCCCUGGGCUAACACUGACGCUCAGGCACGAAAGCGUGGGGAGCAAACAGG